rnacentral:rRNA from 1 species
GACGAACGCUGGCGGCGUGCUUAACACAUGCAAGUCGAACGGAAAGGCCCUGCUUUUGUGGGGUGCUCGAGUGGCGAACGGGUGCGUAACACGUGAGCAACCUGCUCUUGACUUUCGGAGAACAUCAGGAAACUGGGGCUAAUCUCGGACAGGAGCCCCUGCUGCAUGGUGGGGGUUGGAAAGUUUCGGCGGUCGGGGAUGGACGCGCGGCUUACCAGCUUGUUGGUGGGGUAGUUGCUUACCGAGGCUGUGACGGGUACCCGGCCUGAGAGGGUGACCGGCCACAUUGGGACUGAGAUACGGCCCAGAGUCGUACGUGAGGCAGCAGUGGGGAGUAUUGCACAGUGGGCGGGAGUCUGUUGAGGCGGCGCCGCGGUCGGGAUGACGGCCUUCGGGUUGUAAACCGCUUUCGCCUGUGACGAAGCGUUAGUGACGGUAAUGAGUAAAGAAGCACCGGCUAACUACGUG